UACGUAGGGCGCGAGCGUUGUCCGGAAUUAUUGGGCGUAAAGAGCUCGUAGGUGGCUUGUCGCGUCUGCCGUGAAAGCUCAUGGCUUAACUGUGGGUCUGCGGUGGAUACGGGCUGGCUGGAGGUAGGCAGGGGCAAGCGGAAUUCCUGGUGUAGCGGUGAAAUGCGCAGAUAUCAGGAGGAACACCGGUGGCGAAGGCGGCUUCCUGGACCGACACUGACGCUGAGGCGCGAAAGCUAGGGGAGCAAACGGG
rnacentral:rRNA from 1 species